rnacentral:misc_RNA from 1 species
GUAUAGAUUUAAAGGCAUUUAAGCCCUUCAAUUACAUUCAAAAACAUACAAUAGGGUGUGUAAAUGCAUAGACCCGGGCUCUGCUGUAGAAUAAAGCCGACCUUCCUGUUACAGAAAGCCUGCAGCAUUCAAAUCCAAAGUCUCCUUUGAAAGUAGCGUCACCCAAGGACUACAAAAGGUUCACAGGUGGUUGAAAUGACUUUUGCUAAGCGUGCACAUGCCCCCGAAGGAGCCAGCACGAGCUUCGCAUAGUGAAUUCAAUAAUGAUCCUUCCGCAGGUUCACCUACGGAAA